UUCGCUCAUAUUUGUAUGGAAUGGGAUCGUUUGCCUAAGUUUGCCGCUAGGGGCGCUGUUCCAACUGCAUACAAAAUUGGGCUA
rnacentral:pre_miRNA from 1 species